rnacentral:rRNA from 1 species
GGGGAAUUUUGGACAAUGGGGGCAACCCUGAUCCAGCAAUGCCGCGUGCAGGAAGAAGGCCUUCGGGUUGUAAACUGCUUUUGUACGGAACGAAAAGGCUCUGGUUAAUACCUGGGGCACAUGACGGUACCGUAAGAAUAAGCACCGGCUAACUACGUGCCAGCAGCCGCGGUAAUACGUAGGGUGCAAGCGUUAAUCGGAAUUACUGGGCGUAAAGCGUGCGCAGGCGGUGCUGUAAGACAGGCGUGAAAUCCCCGGGCUUAACCUGGGAAUGGCGCUUGUGACUACAGUGCUGGAGUGUGGCAGAGGGGGAUGGAAUUCCGCGUGUAGCAGUGAAAUGCGUAGAUAUGCGGAGGAACACCGAUGGCGAAGGCAAUCCCCUGGGCCUGCACUGACGCUCAUGCACGAAAGCGUGGGGAGCAAACA